rnacentral:rRNA from 1 species
UACGGAGGAUGCGAGCGUUAUCCGGAUUUAUUGGGUUUAAAGGGUGCGUAGGCGGACGCUUGAGUCAGCGGUAAAAUUGCGGGGCUCAACCUCGUCGAGCCGUUGAAACUGGGUGCCUUGAGUGGGCGAGAAGUACGCGGAAUGCGUGGUGUAGCGGUGAAAUGCAUAGAUAUCACGCAGAACUCCGAUUGCGAAGGCAGCGUACCGGCGCCCUACUGACGCUGAAGCACGAAGGCGUGGGUAUCGAACAGG